AUGUUCACGGCUUUCCAGGUGGAUGAACAUACGUUCAAGGUGUGUUCUAUUUUGGGCAUGUCAGAUUCGGAACCUGAAGACCCGGACAAAGGAAGGAACUACUUCAUGAAAGCCUCAAUCGGCCUAGGCGAAUACUACUGCCAAUGCUGCAAGUUUGAACGGGACGGCAUUGUGUGCUGUCACAUACUAAAAGUAAUGGACAUGAACACUGUGACAUGGAUGCCCCACCAUUUCAUAAGGCGGCGAUGGACUUGGGACGCUGACGACGCGUUGGCGCCGCAGACAACAAACGCAGUUCUAGCUGUGCAUGACGAGAGACCUGAAUCAACCAUGGAAGCCGUGAGGCACGUUGUGCUGACAAAGAACUAUGCUGAGCUAAUUGAUGAAGCGUGCAAGAGUGAUGAGAUAGCUAGAGUCGCAGAAAAACACAGGAGGGCCUUGAAAAGAGAGCUUGAUGAGAUGAAGAAGAGGAAAGCUGAGGAAGCCUUACAUAGGUUCCCCCGCACAUCAAGUGUGCCUUCGUCCACGGGGCCAUUAUCUGAAAACUCGGAGAUAGGAUCUGGAACAGUAAGCACACAAACCCAGGUCAGGAACCCUCCCCGUUCCAUCACAAAGGGGCGUCCAAAAGAGAUAAGGUACAAAUCGGGAUUGGAGAUUCAAGCAAAACACAAGAAAAUGAAGAAAGGGACGGGCAAUCCGUAA
rnacentral:rRNA from 1 species